rnacentral:rRNA from 1 species
GAUCAUGGCUCAGGAUGAACGCUAGCGGCAGGCUUAACACAUGCAAGUCGAGGGGCAGCAUAAUGGAUAGCAAUAUCUAUGGUGGCGACCGGCGCACGGGUGCGUAACGCGUAUGCAACCUACCUUUAACAGGGGGAUAACCCGGAGAAAUCCGGACUAAUACCCCAUAAUAUGGGCGCUCCGCAUGGAGAGUCCAUUAAAGAGAGCAAUCUUGGUUACAGACGAGC